AUUUUUUAAACAAUAAAUUUUUUUUAAUUGUACAAAUUUUUCUAGUGGGCGUUUGGUUGGGGGAUUGGAGGGAGGUAACUAACAGAGUAACGCUGAUAACUCUAGGGCAUGUUUGGUUCGAAGUCGGAAUCGAAAUCGAAAUCGGAAUCAAAUAAGCUGGAAUCGGAAUCGGAAUCGGAAUGACUUAUUAUCUAAUUCUGUUUGGUUCAUCAUCUGAAUCGGAAUCGAAAUAUAAUCAUUCCCAUUGUCGUCGUUUGGUUCAAGUGGAUAUAAAAUACGUAAUCAAAUUAAUAUACUGACAUUAUCUUUAUAAUAUAUUAAUUUAAAUUCAAAUUAAAAAUUAAAUAUUAAAAAUUUACAUUAAAAUUUUGAAAUAAUGUCAAAAUUUUAAAUCUAUCUUUUUUUAAAAAAAAUUAAACUU
rnacentral:lncRNA from 1 species